rnacentral:ncRNA from 2 species
ACUAAAUAAUGUAGUCUUGGUGCCUGCGACUCGUCGUGGGUGAAAAGGGAAGCCGGUGCGAAACCGGCGCUGCCCCCGCAACUGUGAGCGGUAAGCCGAGGCCCGAUGUUCCACUGGCGUCCUGCGCCGGGAAGGAGGGCCGAAGCGUUUGAGCCGCGAGUCAGGAGACCUGCCAGGACGAAAGGAAACGA